CCGUACAGGGCGGCGAGCACGGCCAGCGCCAACAGGAGCGCGGCCGCCAGCGCGGCCAGCAGCAGGGCCACCGCGCGGCUCACGAAGAAGCCGGAGCUGGAACGGGGUCCCAUCGCCAAGACCUCUAGCGGGGAUGAGAUGCAGGUCCCUGCCUACACACCCCUCCCGCCAGGACGUGGGAAGAGGCCGAGCGGGCGCACUGAGGCGCGCGCCCCUCGGGGUCCGACGGGCAAGACCUCGCACGAGAGGCUUCCAGAGUCGCUGCGAGGCGAGGACCGUCGGGACAAACUCGGAUUUAGACACCUCCGGCGGGAAUAUUUGGAUUCACGGGAUUUGUUGGGUGUGCCGCGGAGCAGUUCAGGUGCCGGCUAAGGAACGGGGACCGAGCACCUGGAGCUCCUGGACUGCAGUGAGGAGCGGCCGGUCGCACACCUGCGGGCCACCGCCGGGGACUCGCACGCCAGGGGCUGGGUGGAGGCUUAAGGACCUGGACUUUUGGGGUGCGUUCUGAAAUGACCCUGCGAGGGGCAACUGUGCGGUGAGAACUUCCGGAGCCAAAUCUUUGGCGCAAAAUUCACCUCCUGAAUACAGUUGGGAUGAAAUCAA